GAUGAACGCUGGCGGCGUGCCUAAUACAUGCAAGUCGAGCGAACGGACGAGAAGCUUGCCUCUCUGAUGUUAGCGGCGGACGGGUGAGUAACACGUGGAUAACCUACCUAUAAGACUGGGAUAACUUCGGGAAACCGGAGCUAAUACCGGAUAAUAUUUUGAACCGCAUGGUUCAAAAGUGAAAGACGGUUUUGCUGUCACUUAUAGAUGGAUCCGCGCUGCAUUAGCUAGUUGGUAAGGUAACGGCUUACCAAGGCAACGAUGCAUAGCCGACCUGAGAGGGUGAUCGGCCACACUGGAACUGAGACACGGUCCAGACUCCUACGGGAGGCAGCAGUAGGGAAUCUUCCGCAAUGGGCGAAAGCCUGACGGAGCAACGCCGCGUGAGUGAUGAAGGUCUUCGGAUCGUAAAACUCUGUUAUUAGGGAAGAACAAAUGUGUAAGUAACUGUGCACAUCUUGACGGUACCUAAUCAGAAAGCCACGGCUAACUACGUG
rnacentral:rRNA from 1 species